ensembl:lncRNA
AUGUCUGCCUGCCCAACAGAAAGAAGAAGAGGACGCAGGAAGCAUGCAAAGAGCUUCCUCCCAAGAACUAACUCCUCCUUUCUGGAAGGACACCCUCCCCAAGGACUUCUGUCUAAUCACAUCGGCUCUGCUCCCUGGCCACAGUGUGGGGGUUACUUUCCCAACCCCAGAUUCAGAGUAAGAAAUGGCAGCCCACUCCAAUAUUCAAGCCUGGAAAGCUAUCAAUAUCAGGUUAAAAUAAUUACUCCUUUGGGAACAUUUCGUUAACUUCAUUUACAGAGAUCUAAAUUCCAUCCAAGCAAAAGACGUAAUAAAUGCAAAACUCAAUUGGAAAAAUAAAGAGGU